ensembl:snRNA U6 U6 spliceosomal RNA
AUACUCACUUUGGCAGCACAUAUACGAAAACUGGAACAAUACAGAGGAGAUUAGCAUGGUCCCUGUGAAAGGAUGACACGUAAAUUCAUGAAGCAUUUCAUAUUUUU